rnacentral:lncRNA from 1 species
GUUGAAAGAGCAAUCUAAAGCUAAUGGUGCUUAGAAUGGGGCUUCAUACUAUGUUCCUACCCAAGAUCUUAAAUCAGAAUAGACGCUCAUCAACAGAGCAACUUGUUGGAGCAGCUUCUUCAGCAUACCUCUCGCACGUGACGACUCAUGGAAAUCUGAUUUCAACUUGACAUCAUUGUUAGUGUACAUUUCUUAAGUGAUUCAGAUGAAGAGUAACACGGCCAUUUGAAAUGUGAUUUGGGGUGUAGCUUGACGAAUAUAUAUCAGUUCUCUUUGUCUAGGUUUUAAAGUCUGUCAUGUGUUUAUAACCUUUUUGUCUAAGCUAAGAAACUAUAAAUCAGAAUCAUGGUGUGUAUUUUGGGUUGUGCCCCAAAAUUAUUUAAGGGGUUAAGUAUAGUAUCUCCAUUUGUUGAUCACUGGUCAUCUUCUCAACUUUGCCAUAUUCUUUCUCCAUAUUUGAUGUCAAGUUGAAAAGAAAAUUUUUGGUAUGCAC